UACGUAGGGCGCAAGCGUUAUCCGGAAUCAUUGGGCGUAAAGCGCGCGUAGGCGGCCCGGUAAGUCCGCUGUAAAAGUCCAGGGCUCAACCCUGGAAAGCCGGUGGAUACUGUCGGGCUAGAGUCCGGAAGAGGCGAGUGGAAUUCCUGGUGUAGCGGUGGAAUGCGCAGAUAUCAGGAGGAACACCGAUGGCGAAGGCGGCAUCCUGGACCGACACUGACGCUGAGGAGCGAAAGCCAGGGGAGCAAACGGG
rnacentral:rRNA from 1 species